UACCUGGAGGAAGAGAAAGAAAAAUCGAUUUCCUGAGUAGCGGCGAGCGAAACGGAAAGAGCCCAAACCAAGAAGCUUGCUUCUUGGGGUUGUAGGACACUCUAUACGGAGUUACAAAAGAAAGUUAUAAAUGAAGCGGUCUGGAAAGGCCCGCCAAAGACGGUAACAGCCCGGUAGUUGAAAUGGCUUUCCCUCCAGAGUGGAUCCUGAGUACGGCGGAACACGUGAAAUUCCGUCGGAAUCCGGGAGGACCAUCUCCCAAGGCUAAAUACUCCCUAGUGACCGAUAGUGAACCAGUACCGUGAGGGAAAGGUGAAAAGCACCCCGGAAGGGGAGUGAAACAGUUCCUGAAACCGUGUGCCUACAAGUAGUUAGAGCCCGUUAAUGGGUGAUAGCGUGCCUUUUGUAGAAUGAACCGGCGAGUUACGAUUUGUUGCAAGGUUAAGCGGAAAAAGCGGAGCCGUAGCGAAAGCGAGUCUGAAUAGGGCGCAUAAGUAACAGGUCGUAGACCCGAAACCAGGUGAUCUACCCAUGUCCAGGAUGAAGGUAAGGUAAUACUUACUGGAGGUCCGAACCCACGCACGUUGAAAAGUGCGGGGAUGAGGUGUGGGUAGCGGAGAAAUUCCAAUCGAACUUGGAGAUAGCUGGUUCUCUCCGAAAUAGCUUUAGGGCUAGCCUCGAGGUAAAGAGUCAUGGAGGUAGAGCACUGUUUGGACUAGGGGCCCUUCUCGGGUUACCGAAUUCAGAUAAACUCCGAAUGCCAUGUACUUAUACUCGGGAGUCAGACUGCGAGUGAUAAGAUCCGUAGUCGAAAGGGAAACAGCCCAGACCACCAGUUAAGGUCCCCAAAUAUAUGUUAAGUGGAAAAGGAUGUGGGGUUGCUUAGACAACCAGGAUGUUGGCUUAGAAGCAGCCACCAUUGAAAGAGUGCGUAAUAGCUCACUGGUCGAGUGACCCCGCGCCGAAAAUGUACCGGGGCUAAACAUAUUACCGAAACUGUGGAUGAACCUCUUUAGAGGUUCGUGGUAGGAGAGCGUUCUAAGGGCGGUGAAGUCAGACCGGAAGGACUGGUGGAGCGCUUAGAAGUGAGAAUGCCGGUAUGAGUAGCGAAAGAAGGGUGAGAAUCCCUUCCACCGAAUAUCUAAGGUUUCCUGAGGAAGGCUCGUCCGCUC
rnacentral:rRNA from 1 species